rnacentral:rRNA from 1 species
CGCGGUAUUUUGACCGUGCGAAGGUAGCGCAAUCACUUGUCUUUUAAAUGGAGACCUGUAUGAAUGGCAUAACGAGGGCUUAGCUGUCUCCUUUUUCAAGUCAAUGAAAUUGAUCUCCCCGUGCAGAAGCGGGGAUACUUACAUAAGACGAGAAGACCCUAUGGAGCUUUAGACACCAAGACAGACCAUGUUAAACACCCCAAAACAAAGGGCCAAACCAAAUGGCCCCUGCCCUAAUGUCUUUGGUUGGGGCGACCGCGGGGAAACACAAAACCCCCACGUGGAACGAGGACACNNNNNNNNNNNNCUCCUCUCACAACCAAGAGCUCCCGCUCUAGUAAACAGAAAUUCUGACCAACUAGAUCCGGCAAAGCCGAUCAACGGACCGAGUUACCCUAGGGAUAACAGCGCAAUCCCCUUUUAGAGGCCAUAUCGACAAGGGGGUUUACGACCUCGAUGUUGGAUCAGGACAUCCUAAUGGUGCAGCCGCUAUUAAGGGUUCGUG